GAGUAGGAUUUAGGGGAUUUUAGAAUGGCUUCCGAUAAGCGGAUCGAACAGUCUUCCACCCAUCGUCUAUCGACAAUGUUUUGGAGAAUAAUCUAGAGCAUAACGGGGAACACGAGGUUUGCCAAGAGAGAGGCACACCUGGGAACCAUAGCAACAUCCAUGGACAAGCCCACAUCUGGCAAACUAAGCAGCACAACAACCAAAGAACCUGAGCGGCCAACACAAAGCAGAUCAGGACACGUCCCCCACUUUACUCCGCUCUUCCCCCUCACCAUGGCUCCCUUGUAGUAUCCUUUAGAACAGGCAUGCAAUUGUUUACCCAUUUACCACACAUUUGUUUACAUAUUUACUACAAACAUGUUCCUCUCUAAACUGAAAUAUAAAGGAAGGGAUCCUUGGCACUGAGGUACUCUUCUUUUUCCUGGACCACUGGUCAGGACCAUGCAUACUGUCUCCGCAAUAGCGAGGUUACAGUUGCAAUAUCAGCGGUAUACUGUUCUAUGGUGUCCUCGACAUCGCCCAUACUGAGUAGUGUGAAUGGCAGAGACUAUGCUUCUCAGGUAAAUGUCCCUGUGAUCCUGAUUUCAAUUACAAUAUUUUGUCUAGUCCACUGUUUUAAUGUUCUUGCUCGGCCAACCUGUGCUUUUACAGAUCCUGGGGGUAGGGCUGGCCCUGACAGUCUUGCUGCCUUAAGCAAGACUUUACAUUAUAUUAAUUUAUAUUCAUUGAUGUUUGCGUGCUCGUUCAUGAAACAUGACCUGUUGUACUUCAUUUGAUAGCUAUAUCAAUGUUCAGAGAGGGUUUGGGGUGGUCCAAAUAAUAGAAAUACAACGCAACACAAUUAAACACACUGUAGCAUCCAUAACAAACACACAGUUGAAUCAACAGAUCUAUAAAUUAGUUGAAACUAAUACAGAAUAAUAUAACCUUCAUAAAGCAAAGAUUUAUUGCAGGACUGGUGUAUUAGACUGCAUUAUUUUCAGCUAUAAAUACUUGGUCAUGUUAUUUUCAGCCAUUUCUUCCAGCUUAUUUUCAAGUGCUUGGUUUGUUUUGUCUGUUUUCACAUGUCUGCAAAAUGUAACUGAUCAGGCCUUAUUGAACACAAAGCCACACUGAAUGACUUCAGCAUACAGAGAUCCUCCACCUGAAGUCUGGCACCUAUCUUCCUGCAAUCACCCAACACUAAAUGUUUUACAUUUUACAAUUUUUAAAGGUUUUUUUUUAUUAACACACAGUAAAAAUAAACGUACACACUGUCAAAGUC